AAUAAGUGCAGUUUUGCAUUAUUCAUAUCCAAUGUAUGACCGUUUGUCUUAUUUGAAAUUUUUUUAUGAUUGAUAUUUUUUUAUUAGAUGAUAAAACAUGAAAAGUAUUUUAUGUGUGACAAUUUUUUUAAUUUUUUCAUAAUUUUUCCAAAUAAGACGAAUGGUCAAACGUCGGACACGGAUACUCACAGCUGCACUUAUU
rfam:Oryza meridionalis cultivar OR44 (W2112) chromosome 5, whole genome shotgun sequence.